UACGAGGGGGGCGAGCGUUGUUCGGAAUUAUUGGGCGUAAAGGGUGCGUAGGCGGUUUGGUAAGUCUGAUGUGAAAUCUAUGGGCUCAACUCAUAGUCUGCAUCGGAAACUGCCGGGGCUUGAGUGUGGGGAGAGGUGAGUGGAAUUCCUGGUGUAGCGGUGAAAAUGCGUAGAUAUCAGGAGGAAACACCUGUGGCGAAAAGCGGCUCACUGGACCAUAACUGACGCUGAUGCACGAAAAGCUAGGGGGGAGCAAAACAGGG
rnacentral:rRNA from 1 species